rnacentral:lncRNA from 1 species
GGAGUGGGAUAGAGAAGGGUGGAGGGGACCCCAGGCUUUAACAACAGUUCUCAAGCAUCCCUGCACAUCAGAAUCCGAUGGGAUCUUUGAGAUGUCCUUAGGCCGAUCCAACCCUAUGGACGUCAAAUCUCUACGCCAGGGUGAGGACAGUUUCAAUUGGGAUAAUGAUGAAGUUUCUUUUGCCUUAAUCCUUUUGAACAAUGAGACAACAACGAUGACGACGAUGACACCACCACCACCACCAACAACAACAACUCUAUGUGGGGCCAGAGAGCUAUGGGACUGAGAGGAGCAGCCGUGGAGCAAGAGUGGGGUGGAGGCAAUUCAAACCCCUGAAAUCUCAUCCUGAGAUCUGUAGAAGUAGGAAUACUGCCGCCUCUGCCCCAGGCCUGUAUGUACCUGUGCACGCAGUCCAGUGCCCCCCACCCUUACCUUACCAGAGGAGGUCAAGUAGCCAGUGGCCAAUUUAAACUUCCUUUCCCCUUAUAAGUCAUGUGCAGCAGCACCUGGAAUUCCUCCUUAUGCAAAUGAGGCAUCCCCAGCCAAUGAGGUACACUCACCCUGAUAGCCCGCCCCUCAAAGCUUUUUUCCUCCUUCCACAAUAAACUGAAUCAGUCUCUGAAGCUAA